rnacentral:rRNA from 1 species
GGACAUAACAUAAAAGUGGAGGCUAUUGUAACUGAAGAGAACUGGAAAGUUCCACCGUAGAAGGUAAUAGUCCUGUAAGUGAAACGAGAAGACCACGAGUUAUGAUCCAGAGUACCACGAGACACGUGAAACCUUGUGGGAAGCAGGGAGGACCACCUCCCAAGGCUAAAUACUACCUGAUGACCGAUAGUGAAGCAGUACCGUGAGGGAAAGGUGAAAAGAACCCCGGGAGGGGAGUGAAAUAGAACCUGAAACCGUGUGCCUACAACCGCUCAGAGCCCCUUAUGAGGGUGAUGAGGUGCUUUUUGUAGAACGAGCCAACGAGUUACGGUAUGUAGCAAGGUUAAGUACUUAAGGUACGGAGCCGAAGGGAAACCGAGUCUGAAUAGGGCGACUAGUUGCAUGCCGUAGACCCGAAACCGGGUGACCUAUCCAUGGCCAGGUUGAAGCGAGGGUAAAACCUCGUGGAGGACCGAACCACGUUGCUGUUGAAAAAGCAUGGGAUGAGCUGUGGAUAGCGGAGAAAUUCCAAUCGAACCCGGAGAUAGCUGGUUCUCUCCGAAAUAGCUUUAGGGCUAGCGUCGAGUAUGAGUAGUGGAGGUAGAGCACUGAAUGGGCUAGGGGGCAUAGCGCUUACCGAACCUUAUCAAACUCCGAAUGCCACAUACUUUGAGCUCGGCAGUCAGACUACGAAUGAUAAGAUCCGUGGUCAAAAGGGAAACAGCCCAGAUCGUCAGCUAAGGUCCCAAAGUGUAAGUUAAGUGGGAAAGGAUGUGAGAUUUCUAAGACAACUAGGAUGUUGGCUUAGAAGCAGCCAUUCAUUAAAAGAGUGCGUAAUAGCUCACUAGUCGAGAGAUCUUGCGCCGAAAAUGUAACGGGGCUAAACUUACCACCGAAGCUACGGGCUUGAACUUAGUUCAAGCGGUAGGAGAGCGUCGUAACCGGGCUGAAGUCGUACCGUAAGGAGCGGUGGACUGGUUACGAGUGAGAAUGUUGGCAUCAGUAGCGAGAUGUGGGUGAGAAUCCCACAGGCCGAAAACCUAAGGUUUCCUCAGGAAGGUUCGUCCGCUGAGGGUUAGUCGGGACCUAAGCCGAGGCCGAAAGGCGUAGGUGAUGGACAACUGGUUGAUAUUCCAGUACCACUACCAUCGUUAUUAUCGAUGGCGUGACGCAGGAGGAUAGUGUGUGCUAGCUAUUGGAUGCUAGUCUAAGCGUUUAGGCAGUGAGAGUAGGCAAAUCCGCUCUCAUAAUGCUGAGGCGUG